rnacentral:rRNA from 1 species
AUGGCUCCCACGCUCCUGCGACGCCCAGCUCCGGUGCCCGCAGCCACCAUCGCCGCCGCCCAACCCCCUCCCUCCCCGGGAUGCACCUCCUUGGUCUCGCCGCGGUUCCCUCCGGGAUUCCCUUCUCGUCGAUUCUCGCGGCCAGAUCUGGUGGCGGCCCUCUUCCCGCAGCUGGAGGGGAGUUCCUCAGAUCUGUGUAUUCGGGAUGGUGCUCCUCUGCCGGCGUGUAGCGCGGCUGCCUCGGAUGAUGGUGCUCUUUUGCUGGCGUGCUGCGCGGUUAUCUUGGACGCGACGAGCCGUCCCCGCAAGGCGCACUUCGCUGCCCUGCGAAUCCUGCCGCAGUCUCAAGGCGGAGCUCUUCAUCAAGCCAUGCUCCUCCUGCUGCGGAAUCUAGAUCGUGCCCCGAGGCUGACUUCGGCCGGUCGGCGGACUAGCAACUUGUUCGGCUGGCAUAUUGGUGGCGGCGCCCCAACCGCCGGCACCCAAGCCAUCGAGCUGUGUCUGCUUUUCCUCCUCCCGUGUGAAGGGAUUUAG